CACGGGUCCGUGUUGCUCAGUUAAAACCUGCUGCGUGCAAGCGGCUCGAUUCUUGUCCAGAAUGGCUAGGUUUUUUGCGAAAUCCUCAGGGCCCAUCAAAAGUAUUGUAGCGACACAUUUCCUGCAUAUUUUCCAAAUGAAGCUCACGAUGGCUACUUAAAAUGCCCUCGGGACCCAACACAUUCCUGGAAUUCUGAUCGCAUUCCAUCAGAAGAUUGAAGAACUAAGGGAAUAAAGUACGAGGCCUUGAGGUUACCCGAGGGUGGCCGUGCGUAUGAUGGAGUGCUUUCCUGCCGCCAAUAAUAAACUGAGUCCGCACGAGGAGAUAUUUACAUGGCCAGAAAAGGGCAGGAAAAGCGCCCAGAAUCCUUUCAGCGAAACUCUCUAAAUAAAUCAAGAUCUCAGGAAAGCGAGCCUACAAUCACUGUUUAUGAGCGAACACCAGCGCUUAUCUUCAAAGCAGCAGAGAGGCAGUUUGAAUGCGCCGUGGGACUGACAAUACUAACUCACAUGCGCGUGUGCGUGUAUGCGUGAACGCGCGUUUUUGUAAGAAUAAAAGAUUCAUCCGAGCGCAAUCGUGCAAGCCUAUUGAUACGACAUUUUUCAUGAAAUGCAUUAUUCACUAAAAGCAGAGUAGAUGCAGGAUUUAGCAAGAAAUCCCCCAAUGAUAUUAUCAAAAGUGUGUGUGAGGGAUACCUCUUUGAAUGCUUAUGUGUUAGAAUCAGAGCUGAAUAUAGUGCAGUAGCCUGCUGUGACAUACAGUAGUAGAUCACAGUUGGUUGAGAGGUGAACAAUAGUUUCAGGAGGGCCAGUGUCUGAUAAUGCUGUCUUAUCACAUACUCAAACUAGAAUACAAUUCCACAUUAGCACUGAAUGCUAGUGAGUUAUAAAUCCCAAACUGUUCCAGGACUGCACCUUCAGCUGAGGCUUUAAGAACAGAUAUAAGUGAAGGGUCAAUGGGACGUCUUCUGUGAGCUUGAAUGAGGAAAGGCUCUUUAUAUUCAGUCAAUGGUUUAUUAUUUAGGGUAUGAGGUAUUUUUCAUUUCAUACUUCAUGGAGAGUCAAUCACUCUAUCCCUUUGGGACUGUAUGAAUUUUGAAAU